rnacentral:tRNA from 1 species
GCCCUCGUGGCCUAAUGGAUAAGGCAUCGGUCUCCUAAGCCGGGGAUUGCGGGUUCGAAUCCCGCCGAGUGUA